rnacentral:rRNA from 1 species
UACGGGGGGAGCAAGCGUUGUUCGGAUUUACUGGGCGUAAAGCGCGGGCAGGCGGCUCGAAACGUCUGAUGUGAAAUCUCCUCGCUCAACGGGGAGAGGCCAUUGGAAACGGUCGGGCUGGAGGGCAGUAGAGGCAGGCGGAAUUCCGGGUGGAGUGGUGAAAUGCGUAGAGAUCCGGAGGAACACCAGAGGCGAAGGCGGCCUGCUGGGCUGCACCUGACGCUGAACCGCGAAAGCCAGGGGAGCGAACGGG